UACAGAGGAUGCAAGCGUUAUCCGGAAUGAUUGGGCGUAAAGCGUCUGUAGGUGGCUUUUUAAGUCCGCCGUCAAAUCCCAGGGCUCAACUCUGGACAGGCGGUGGAAACUACCAAGCUGGAGUACGGUAGGGGCAGAGGGAAUUUCCGGUGGAGCGGUGAAAUGCGCAGAUAUCAGGAGGAACACCGAUGGCGAAGGCAGGUCUCUGGGCCACUACUGACGCUGAGAAGCGAAAGCAUGGGGAGCGAACAGG
rnacentral:rRNA from 1 species